GCCUGCGCAUAACCCUAGAUAGUCACUUCCGACACCACUAUCCGCCAGAAAACUACUAGGCGAAAAGCCCGAAACUCAAAGGACUUGACGGUGUUCCUUACCCCCUAGAGGAGCCUGUCCUAUAACCGAUAAUCCACGAUCUACCUUACUACCCCUAGCACAACACAGCCUAUAUACCGCCGUCGCCAGCUCACCCCAUGAGGGAAAAGUGAACACAAUGGGGCCCCCCCCCAACGUCAGGUCAAGGUGUAGCUCAUGGGGGAGCAGAGAUGGGCUACAUUUUCUACCACUAGAACACCACCAAACUGACAUGAAACCUGGCACAAAAAGGAGAGAUUUAGCAGUAACUAUCAAGCAAGAAAUGCUUACUUGAAGCACCCCCAGGAACGCGU
rnacentral:rRNA from 1 species